AGAGUUAAAAAGUGUUGAUUCUGGUGUUGAUUUGAAUGGCAUUAACACUUGCAGUGUAAAUCAGUGGUCGGAGUCAGUGUAAUUACAGCGAGUUGACAUAAUUGACACUGGUGAUGAGUUGAUCCAAUUUCCGGUCCUUGCACGUUAUUUCCUUUUUGAUUAAUGGCGGACGACCACGAGGAGAGGACAGUGUUCAAACAAAUAACGCGACAGACCACCGACAGAUAUCGAGUCCAUUUAGCUGCACUACUUGUUAGCAAGCAAAUUGAGCUUUCAUGUUCAUCAAGGCGUGAAGAAAUUUGUAAAACUGCACAGCGAUAG